AUGGGUUUCAAGGCCUCUGUUUGACUGCACACUGAGAUAUUUUCUCCAGAAAAAGGUCCAAAUCCCCCGUCCUUCUAGGGAAGCAGCCAGCAGCAGGAACAGAGUCUCUGAACAGUUACCUCUUGACUUGAGGGGGGCAGGACAGCCGUUGCUUCAGGUCCUGGCAGCCCAUCGCCUACUCUUGGGGAGGUUCCCCAGGAAGUGGGGAAGGAGCUACAGUACCCCAGGGUGUGGAUCCAGGCCUUUCUGAAGAUACCAAUGCCUAAGAGCGUUCAAGUCCCUACUGUGAAAUGACCCAGUAUUCACCAGUCUCUCUGAUCAUCUUCCUACGUACUCCCCUUUAGAUGAUCACUUAUAUUGUCUGCCAUUGUGUAAGCACCGUAUGAAUGCCAUCUACCUUGGACUGCUGGAGAAUAAUAAAUGAUUAGAAGAAAAAAAAAAAAAAAAAAAAAAAAAAAAAAAAAAAAAAAAAAAAAAAAAAAAAAA
rnacentral:lncRNA from 1 species